UACGUAGGGAGCAAGCGUUGUCCGGAAUCAUUGGGCGUAAAGCGCGCGUAGGCGGCCCUGUAAGUCCGUUGUGAAAGUCAAAGGCUCAACCUUUGAAAGCCGAUGGAUACUGCAGGGCUAGAGUCCGGAUGAGGCGAGUGGAAUUCCUGGUGUAGCGGUGGAAUGCGCAGAUAUCAGGAGGAACACCAAUAGCGAAGGCAGCUCGCUGGGACGGUACUGACGCUAAGGCGCGAAAGCGUGGGGAGCGAACGAGG
rnacentral:rRNA from 1 species